AUGGGAGAGAUUCGGGUCAAGUUUUGGAAGGAAAAAGGUGAGGAAGUAGGAUGCGGACGUUCUAAAGGGAGGGAAAGAGCCACGUGUGUAGCAGCCAGCUGUGGGGCUGAACCAGCGCAGGCAUGCUCAUUAGAAAGCCAUGCAACCCUGUUCCUGCACAACUCACUUCGAGCCCUUCUUCCUGCUCUCUUGGCGCUGCUGCUGAGGGUCACGUGGCAGCUGCUCCACCAGGGCUCUAUGAAUGACCGCUUGCUCCCAGCUCUCAAGAUGCUUCCAGGCUCUUCCUUCCUGGUUGUGGAUGCAGAGCUGGAAACCGGAAACUGCUGCUGGUGUCCUUUGCACCCAACCUCACCAAGGACUGAGUCACUGGAGCAUCUAUCUGCACGCUGCGGUUUCGACUUUCCCCCAAGUGCAUAGCGGUAUGUCAUCUGAGAGGCAGAAGUCAGGCUGCCCCUGGUGCCAAGACAGAGGCUGAGGUGACAUGCAUUGUCCCGGCAGCCUGGCUUCUUACAACCUCCUGAGAGGACAGAAGGACCUGUCAGGCAUCAGCCUGGUGAAGAAAUCCCUUUGAUUUCCACAGCCUGAAUAUUACUCUCCUGUGCGGCCAGGAGCAGAAGAGUUUCGUUUCACUGUUUCUAUGUCUAUUUAUUUUUAAUCCAAAUACACAGAGGUAGCUUUAAAGUCCACAUGUUAAUUUGUUCUAGGAAAAUCACAAAGUUGUAGCCUCCCUGGUCUACUCGUAUUUCCGUCUCUGCGUUUAGUUGUACUGGGGUGUUUGGAGCGCUUAUUCCUAGGCAAUGCAUUUUAAAAGCUGUCUUUGUUAUCUUAAUUUAGAGAGUCCUGACCUUGCUACGGAAGUCAAGGAAAAGUCUUCCGCCUCCUCAGGCCUUCUUGCCCCUCAAAUUUCCUGUAUUUCUUCCCAUCUUACCUGUCCACGAGAUUUAGCUUAAUUAAAAAAUAUAUGUUUACUUCAUGUGUCUGUAUCAUACGCAUGCAUUGCCUGUGGAGGCCAGAAGAGGGCGUCGGAUCCCCGGGAACUAGGAGUUACAGAUGGUUGUGAGCUGCUGCAUGGAUGUUGGGAAUGGAACCUGGGUCCUCUGCAGGAACAGCCAGUCCCCUUUACCCAUGAGUCAUCUCUCCAGUCCUUUAACAACAUUUUAGGAAGCACUACAGAAGAAGAAAAGUGCACCCGUUGAAACUAGGAUAGUAACUAUUGUCAAUUUGAUAGGAUCUAGAAUAACAUGGGACACAGCCUCUAGGCAAGCCUCCGAGGGGUUGUCCACAUUAGGUUACUUGAAGUAGAAGAACACCUUAUGUGUGGGCAGCACUAUGGGCUGGGAUCCUGACUGAGUAAACCGGAGAAGGCAAGCUGAGCCCUCUUCUCUUCAGUUGUUCUUGGUAGAGCAUUUUUGCCACAGGAGUGAGAUAAAUAAUGGAGGCCACAAUGUAUUCUGAUGUCUAAGACACUAAAAUAAAAAAGAAAAGCACAUUUUAGAAUAGCA
rnacentral:lncRNA from 1 species